GAUGAACGCUGGCGGCGUGCCUAAUACAUGCAAGUCGAGCGAACAGACGAGGAGCUUGCUCCUCUGACGUUAGCGGCGGACGGGUGAGUAACACGUGGAUAACCUAGCUAUAAGACUGGGAUAACUUCGGGAAACCGGAGCUAAUACCGGAUAAUAUAUUGAACCGCAUGGUUCAAUAGUGAAAGACGGUUUUGCUGUCACUUAUAGAUGGAUCCGCGCCGCAUUAGCUAGUUGGUAAGGUAACGGCUUACCAAGGCAACGAUGCGUAGCCGACCUGAGAGGGUGAUCGGCCACACUGGAACUGAGACACGGUCCAGACUCCUACGGGAGGCAGCAGUAGGGAAUCUUCCGCAAUGGGCGAAAGCCUGACGGAGCAACGCCGCGUGAGUGAUGAAGGUCUUCGGAUCGUAAAACUCUGUUAUUAGGGAAGAACAAAUGUGUAAGUAACUAUGCACGUCUUGACGGUACCUAAUCAGAAAGCCACGGCUAACUACGU
rnacentral:rRNA from 1 species